rnacentral:rRNA from 1 species
AUUGAACGCUGGCGGCAGGCCUAACACAUGCAAGUCGAGCGGAUGAAGGGAGCUUGCUCCUGGAUUCAGCGGCGGACGGGUGAGUAAUGCCUAGGAAUCUGCCUGGUAGUGGGGGAUAACGUCCGGAAACGGGCGCUAAUACCGCAUACGUCCUGAGGGAGAAAGUGGGGGAUCUUCGGACCUCACGCUAUCAGAUGAGCCUAGGUCGGAUUAGCUAGUUGGUGGGGUAAAGGCCUACCAAGGCGACGAUCCGUAACUGGUCUGAGAGGAUGAUCAGUCACACGGGAACUGAGACACGGUCCAGACUCCUACGGGAGGCAGCAGAGGGGAAUAUUGGACAAUGGGCGAAAGCCUGAUCCAGCCAUGCCGCGUGUGUGAAGAAGGUCUUCGGAUUGUAAAGCACUUUAAGUUGGGAGGAAGGGCAGUAAGUUAAUACCUUGCUGUUUUGACGUUACCAACAGAAUAAGCACCGGCUAACUUCGUG